GACGAACGCUGGCGGCAGGCUUAACACAUGAAGUCGAGCGCCCCGCAAGGGGAGCGGCAGACGGGUGAGUAACGCGUGGGAAUCUACCCUUUUCUACGGAAUAACGCAGGGAAACUUGUGCUAAUACCGUAUAAGCCCUUCGGGGGAAAGAUUUAUCGGGAAAGGAUGAGCCCGCGUUGGAUUAGCUAGUUGGUGGGGUAAAGGCCUACCAAGGCGACGAUCCAUAGCUGGUCUGAGAGGAUGAUCAGCCACAUUGGGACUGAGACACGGCCCAAACUCCUACGGGAGGCAGCAGUGGGGAAUAUUGGACAAUGGGCGCAAGCCUGAUCCAGCCAUGCCGCGCGAGUGAUGAAGGCCCUAGGGUUGUAAAGCUCUUUCACCGGUGAAGAUAAUGACGGUAACCGGAGAAGAAGCCCCGGCUAACUUCGUGCCAGCCGCCGCGGUAAGAC
rnacentral:rRNA from 1 species